UACGUAGGGGGCAAGCGUUGUCCGGAUUUACUGGCGUAAAGCGCUUGUAGGCGGCUUGUUAAGUCCUGUGUGAAAGCCCUUGGCUUAACCAAGGAAGUGCGCAGGAAACUGGCGAGCUUGAGUGCCGGAGAGGGUCGCGGAAUUCCCGGUGUAGAGGUGAAAUUCGUAGAUAUCGGGAGGAACACCAGUGGCGAAGGCGGCGACCUGGACCGACACUGACGCUGAGG
rnacentral:rRNA from 1 species